rnacentral:rRNA from 1 species
AACGAACGCUGGCGGCAGGCCUAACACAUGCAAGCCGAGCGAGGACUUCGGUCCUAGCGGCGGACGGGUGAGUAACGCGUGGGAACGUGCCCUUUGCUACGGAAUAGCCCUGGGAAACUGGGAGUAAUACCGUAUGUGCCCUUCGGGGGAAAGAUUUAUCGGCAAAGGAUCGGCCCGCGUUGGAUUAGGUAGUUGGUGGGGUAAUGGCCUACCAAGCCGACGAUCCAUAGCUGGUUUGAGAGGAUGAUCAGCCACACUGGGACUGAGACACGGCCCAGACUCAUACGGGAGGCAGCAGUGGGGAAUCUUAGACAAUGGGCGCAAGCCUGAUCUAGCCAUGCCGCGUGAGCGAUGAAGGCCUUAGGGUUGUAAAGCUCUUUCAGUGGGGAAGAUAAUGACGGUACCCACAGAAGAAGCCCCGGCUAACUCCGUGCCAGCAGCCGCGGUAAAAC